GACGAACGCUGGCGGCGUGCCUAAUACAUGCAAGUCGAACGCAGUGGGGACGGGUGAGGAACACGUGGGUAACCUCCCAUCAGAGGGGAUAACACUUGGAAACAGGUGCUAAACCGAUACUGAUGGAUGGACCCGCGGUGCAUUAGCUAGUUGGUGAGGUAACGGCUCACCAAGGCCACGAUGCAUAGCCGACCUGAGAGGGUGAUCGUCCACACGGGGACUGAGACACGGCCCAGACUCCUACGUGAGGCAGCCGUGGGGAAUCUUCGGCAGUGGACGAAAGUCUGACCGAGCAACUCCGCGUGUGUGAAGAAGGUUUUCGGAUCGUAAAACUCUGUUGUUAUGGAAGCGGUAUCUAACCAGAAAGCCACGGCUAACUACGUGCCAGCAGCCGCGGUAAUUC
rnacentral:rRNA from 1 species